UAUUAGCCUAAAAUAAGAUUGGAGAUUACAAGCAAUAGCUUAAAAACCCAAGAAAUUUGGCGGUGUUUUAUUCAAUCAGGGGGGCCUGUAUUUCAAAUUGAUAGUCCACGUUAAACUCUACCUAACUUUAAUAUUCUCUUAGCCUGUGUACUGCCGUUUAAUAGGUCCUUGAAGUCUCUUAUAAGUCAAUAUAAAAAUUAUAAGUCAGGUCAAAGUGCAGCAUAUAGUUAGGCACAAUAUGGGUUACAUCUUUAAAAUAUAAUAAAUUUAUAAAUUAAAUUUUAUAAUAAAAUUAGGACUUGAUAGUAAUUAUAUAAAUAUUUAUACUAUAAUGAAUAUGAACUUAAAAUAAGU
rnacentral:rRNA from 1 species